UAGCCAUUGUUGCAGCUGGACUUAGGACCCUCUUGACUCACCACAACUACAGGACUUAGAGAUGUACUUCAGGAGCUUGAAUGCCAUCUUCAGAAGCAGAGAGGCCUUCAUCUGCCUGCUUUCUCUGAAACUCCGAUGCUGCUGACACAGGCCCCACACUCUGAACAAAAGCACAUGUAGCCAGUUUCUACUUUACUGCUCCAGCUUUCCUGCCCUAAUGAUCAUCUUGGGCCCUGUGACAAUGAGAAGGACUGUAGGCUCGGUGGAUUCAGCACUGCGUCCAGACAAACAGGGGAAUAGAGAGACCAGAAAUAUUUUUGAAUUUUGGCUGCUUUCAGAUGACAGUGAGAUCUGUCAGGAAUGAGAAAGAACCUGCAAACAAAAUUUAGGUUUCUUAGAUAUAAACAUACAGUAAUGAAACUAAAGACACUAGCAAAAAACCUUCCAG